rnacentral:rRNA from 1 species
GUGUCAGCCGCCGCGGUAAUACGGAGGGUGCAAGCGUUAUCCGGAUUCACUGGGUUUAAAGGGUGCGUAGGUGGGCUAGUAAGUCCGUGGUGAAAUCUCUGAGCUUAACUCGGAAACUGCCGUGGAUACUAUUAGUCUUGAAUCUCGUGGAGGUAAGCGGAAUAUGUCAUGUAGCGGUGAAAUGCUUAGAUAUGACAUAGAACACCGAUAGCGAAGGCAGCUUGCUACACGAGUAUUGACACUGAGGCACGAAAGCGUGGGGAUCAAACAGGAUUAGAUACCCUGGUAGUCCACGCCCUAAACGAUGGAUACUCGACAUACGCGAUACACAGUGUGUGUCUGAGCGAAAGCAUUAAGUAUCCCACCUGGGAAGUACGACCGCAAGGUUGAA